rnacentral:rRNA from 1 species
UACGAAGGGGGCUAGCGUUGCUCGGAAUCACUGGGCGUAAAGCGCACGUAGGCGGAUUGCUAAGUCAGGGGUGAAAUCCUGGAGCUCAACUCCAGAACUGCCUUUGAUACUGGCGAUCUCGAGUUCGGGAGAGGUGAGUGGAAUGCCGAGUGUAGAGGUGAAAUUCGUAGAUAUUCGGCGGAACACCAGUGGCGAAGGCGACUCACUGGGCCGAUACUGACGCUGAGGAGCGAAAGCGUGGGGAGCGAACAGG